rnacentral:rRNA from 1 species
GUGCCAGCCGCCGCGGUAAGACGUAGGGGGCGAGCGUUGUCCGGAAUUACUGGGCGUAAAGAGCACGUAGGCGGGAACUUAAGUCAGGUGUGAAAGACCGGGGCUCAACUCCGGGGUGGCACUUGAAACUGGGUUUCUUGAGGGCAGGAGAGGAAAGCAGAAUUCCUGGUGUAGCGGUGAAAUGCGUAGAAAUCAGGAGGAAUACUAGUGGCGAAGGCGGCUUUCUGGACUGACCCUGACGCUGAGGUGCGAAAGCGUGGGCAGCAAACAGGAUUAGAUACCCUGGUAGUCCACGCCGUAAACGAUGGAUACUAGGUGUGGGAGGUAUCGACCCCUUCCGUGCCGCAGCUAACGCAAUAAGUAUCCCGCCUGGGGAGUACGGUCGCAAGGCUGAA